ensembl:lncRNA myosin-M heavy chain-like
GAGGGUUUCCUCCAUGUGAAAGCAGUUAGGGAUAGUGAAGUUCUUGAAGUGAAGUGAAGUGAAGUGAAGUGAUUGUCACAUGUGAUACAAAGCAGCACAGCACACGAUGCACACAGUGAAAUUUGCCCUCUGCAUUUAACCCAUCACCCUGAGUGAGCAGUGGGCAGCCAUGACAGGCUGAUUGAGUGAUUGCUGACAUUCCAACAUUACAGAAUAUAAAAUUCAAUUCCAGCAGUACAGGACAGCCUGGCGUGUGUUCCGGGACUGUCGGAAAAGGUCUGGAGUCAGGAAGAUGAAGAUUCUGGUUUCUCAUCACACUUCCCUUGCCAGGCUUGUACUUACAUUUGAUUGGAUGUGCUCUUUGUUUUCUAUUUUUGAAUAAAUGUGGAGUAGAUUAACUGAUUUUAGUAUAUGAACUGAUUUCAAAAGGUAUCAAGGGACAAAACAAGACUUCAGUGGAACCGUGUUCUCGACUGGACCCGGUUACCUGGCCUGCACCAAUCUCGUAGCUCAAGCAUUGAAGAAAACAUAGAAUUGAAGCAAACAAGACAAGCAGUUUCGGAAUUAAUGGAAUCACUGGAAAAGCAGAAGCAGGCCAACAAUUUGCUUAAAAAGUACCUGCUGCAAGAGAGACAGGAGAAGGCUCAGCUGGUUCAAAUGCUGGAAGAGGCGAAGGAGAACAGUUGGACCAUAAUAGAAGAACAGUCCUACUUGGAACAUUGUGGGGAGGAUGGUUUUUCUGGCAACGAGCGUAAAAGCAGAAAAGUGGGGCACAUGUUACCGGCUCAAGGGUGGAGCGGACCCGCGGCCUCCGCCCGGGGACUGGAGGCAUCGAGUGCGGAGAAAGACACAUGCAAAAGGUGCGCCAAGCUGCACGUCGAACGCAAGGAGGCCAUCAUGGAGUUCCUCAACUCCGAGUCCAGAUAUGGAGAGGACCUGCGCAUCAUUAUGGAGGAGUUUUACUGUCCCAUGAAGACCACUGGACAACUCACCAACAAAGAGCUGGCUGUGGUGUUCAGCAACGUUCAGGAACUCAUUGGCUUCAAUGAAAUGUUUACGAAACGCCUACAGGAGAGCAUUGACCAGGCGAUCAAUCAGGGUGACGAGAACCUUCUGACAGUACGCAUUGGAGAGCUCUUCUUGGAAUUUGCUAACAUGCUGUUGGCCUUUCAGACCUACUUCCUCCAGCAGUCCUCCUCUGUCAACAUGUUGAAUACACUGGAGAAGAAGAAUGAACCGAUGAGGGCACCAGUGCAGCGCGUCACCAGGUACGCGCUGCUACUCAACCUAAUCAGCAAGACCACCACCGAAUGUCACCAAGACUACGCCCAUCUGCAACAUGCCAAGAGCUGCGUGGAGUCUCAUUUGGAGAAGAUGGACACACAAAGCAAGAAGGACACGACCAAGAAGUUCCUGUCCUCCUAUACUUCCUUCCUGAGGAGGAUCGGCCUGGUGAAAUGAACGGAACACAGAACACGCAUGCAGUAUGAUUUACUCUUGCGCAGUAACUUUCCCAUCACCCCAUCCUUGUUUCCUGCAUUCUGAAUUCAUUUACUGCUGACUAGGCCUGGACUGGCAUUGAAGGUGCAGACUCUGGUGAUAAAGUGUUUUAACAGUGGUUGGCCUAGCGGUUAAGGAAGCGGCCCCGUAAUCAGAAGGUUGCCGGUUCGAAUCCCGAUCCGCCAAGGUACCACUGAGGUGCCACUGAGCAAAGCACCGUCCCCACACACUGCUCCCCGGGCGCCGGUCAUGGCUGCCCACUGC